rnacentral:rRNA from 1 species
AGAGUUUGAUCAUGGCUCAGAAUCAACGCUGGCGGCGUGCCUAACACAUGCAAGUCGAACGCGAAAGGGAGCAAUCCUGAGUAGAGUGGCGUCCGGGUGAGUAACACGUGAAUAAUCUACCUGCGGGUGGGGAAUAACUUUCCGAAAGGAAGGCUAAUACCGCAUAAAAUCUAGCUGGGAUAGCCUAGUUAGAUCAAAGAGGGGGAUCGCAAGACCCCUCGCCUGUAGAGGAGUUCGCGGCUGAUUAGCUAGUUGGCGGGGUAAAGGCCCACCAAGGCGACGAUCAGUAGCCGGCCUGAGAGGGCGGUCGGCCACACUGGCACUGAAAUACGGGCCAGACUCCUACGGGAGGCAGCAGUGGGGAAUUUUGGGCAAUGGCCGAAAGGCUGACCCAGCAACGCCGCGUGAAGGAUGAAAUUUUUCGGAAUGUAAACUUCGUAAAUUAGGAAAGAAUAAGUUUGUACUAAUACUGCAAGCGAUGACGGUACCUAAUGUAAGCCCCGGCUAACUCCGUGCCAGCAGCCGCGGUAAU